rnacentral:tRNA from 1 species
CUGUUUGGUCUAGUGGUAUGAUUCUCGCUUAGGGUGCGAGAGGUCCCGGGUUCAAUUCCCGGA